rnacentral:piRNA from 1 species
GCCAUGUUCUAAUGCCAGUUUUGGAGGGAG